GAGGACAGUAGCCUCUUGCUUUUUAUUAUUUUAAUUAUCUAAGGACCAAAUUAGAGAAAAUUUAGCAUUGCGUAGCUAUGAGAUAAACUGUGAACCUAAAUAUUUCCAAGAAAAGAGUGGAGCAGAACUGAAAGGAUCAGGAAUCCAGGAUGACACCAGAAUCAUAAGGCAGGAUUCAAAUCCUCUCCUAGGCUAAAUUCCAGGCAACAUACAACUUACUCAAGUUCCAUCAAGUCCCAGAUCCAGGUCUCAGGGAAAUACUUCCGGACCAUCUCCUUCACUUGAAAGUCAGGACGUCCUUCACUUCUCACUUGAAAAGUCGGAGAGUUUUGUCUCCCCAUCAUUGGAAGGAAGAACCAAAAUUAUGGGUGAAUAAUCAUGGUGGAAGUGGGGUGCUAAGCGGGGAGUGCUGGAGCCUGUUGGAGAGCUCACAGGAAGAAGCUAUGACACAGAAAACGAAAGAAGCAAGAAGCUGGCAGAGAUUGAACAGGGGACUUAAUAUUACACGGAAAGGAGCGUGAAGAAAAUACUGACCCACCAGAAAGAGACCUCCGCUGUUAGGACGAGUGAGGUGUGCUGGAAGCUGUAGCACAACACGCACAUCCAAGAUUUAAUCAACAGCUAACUGCCCCUGAUUAACAGUACAGGCAUUGAAGCCUAAAGUCGGAGUCUCUUCUCUGUUGAUACAAAACACAUAGAAGACCCAAACAGAACAGACACUAUGCUUUUGGGGACCCUGUCCAGGUUUAAUAGCAUUCUUUAGCAAGAUGGAAUUGAAGAUUUGUAUCAGAAUCCACUGUGUAUUUUUCUUAUUUCAUUGUAUAUUUUAAAAAAGAUAAUUUAUUAAUAAAUAAAGUUCUCAUGGCAGAAAUGUU